GACGAACGCUGGCGGCGUGCCUAACACAUGCAAGUCGAGCGAGGACAGAGAAGUAGCAAUACGACUUUGUUCUAGCGGCGGACGGGUGAGUAACGCGUGAGCAACCUGUCCCGAACAGGGGGAUAACGAGCCGAAAGGCUCACUAAUACCGCAUGAGACCACAACGUCACAUGACGAAGGGGUCAAAGGAGAAAUCCGGUUCGGGGUGGGCUCGCGUCUGAUUAGCUAGUUGGUGGGGUAACGGCCUACCAAGGCGACGAUCAGUAGCCGACCUGAGAGGGUGAUCGGCCACAUUGGAACUGAGAGACGGUCCAAACUCCUACGGGAGGCAGCAGUGGGGAAUAUUGGGCAAUGGGCGAAAGCCUGACCCAGCAACGCCGCGUGAAGGAAGAAGGUCUUCGGAUCGUAAACUUCUAUCCCCGGUGAAGAUAAUGACGGUAACCGGGAAGGAAGCCCCGGCUAACUACGUG
rnacentral:rRNA from 2 species